rnacentral:rRNA from 1 species
GUCUACGGCCAUGCCACCCUGAACGUGUCCAAUCUCGUCUGAUCGCGGAAGCUAAGCAGGGUCGGGCCUGGUUAGUACUUGGAUGGGAGACCACCUAGGAAGACCGGGUGCUGUAGGCG